UACGAAGGGGGCUAGCGUUGCUCGGAAUCACUGGGCGUAAAGCGCACGUAGGCGGCUUCUCAAGUCAGGGGUGAAAUCCUGGAGCUCAACUCCAGAACUGCCUUUAAAACUGCAUCGCUUGAAUCCGGGAGAGGUGAGUGGAAUUCCGAGUGUAGAGGUGAAAUUCGUAGAUAUUCGGAAGAACACCAGUGGCGAAGGCGGCUCACUGGACCGGCAUUGACGCUGAGGUGCGAAAGCGUGGGUAGCAAACAGG
rnacentral:rRNA from 1 species